rnacentral:rRNA from 1 species
UACGGAGGGUGCAAGCGUUGUUCGGAAUUACUGGGCGUAAAGCGCGUGUAGGUGGUCGAGUAAGUCGAAUGUGAAAGCCCCGGGCUCAACCCGGGAAGUGCAUCCGAAACUGCUCGACUAGAGUCCCGGAGAGGAAGGCAGAAUUCCCAAUGUAGGGGUGAAAUCCGUAGAUAUUGGGAGGAAUACCGGUGGCGAAGGCGGCCUUCUGGACGGUGACUGACACUCAGACGCGAAAGCGUGGGGAGCAAAC